rnacentral:rRNA from 1 species
GACGAACGCUGGCGGCGUGCUUAACACAUGCAAGUCGAACGGAAAGGCCCUGCUUUUGUGGGGGGCUCGAGUGGCGAACGGGUGAGUAAUACGUGAGUAACCUGCCCUUGACUUUGGGAUAACGUCAGGAAACUGGGGCUAAUACCGGAUAGGAGCUCCUGCGGCAUGGUGGGGGUUGGAAAGUUUCGGCGGUUGGGGAUGGACUCGCGGCUUAUCAGCUUGUUGGUGGGGUAGUGGCUUACCAAGGCUUUGACGGGUAGCCGGCCUGCGAGGGUGACCGGCCACAUUGGGACUGAGAUAAGGCCCAGCCUCCUCCGGGAGGCAGCAGUGGGGAAUAUUGCACCAUGGGCGGAAGCCUGAUGCAGCAACGCCGCGUGCGGGAUGACGGCCUUCGGGUUGUAAACCGCUUUCGCCUGUGACGAAGCGUGAGUGACGGUAAUGGGUAAAGAAGCACCGGCUAACUACGUG